GCUUCUCAGGAAACGCAAAGAGAAUGGAGUGGAGUUACAGCACAGUUAGGCUGCUGCUCAACUGAAAAUUGCCAGCAGGUUUGGUAUUUCUUUUUCCUGUAGAGGUGGUUUCUUUGGGCUGCCAGGCUGCAGGAAUUUCUUGAUGUUGGGCAUAUUGCUCAUUCUUGCUUUAAAACUCUGCAAGAGGGGAAAUUUUGCAAGCGCAUCGGGCUUGAACUCUUCCACCACUAAAAUGGUUUCCAGUAAAUGCACAUCUGCUCUGCUCAGCUUGUUGCCAACAAGAAAGUCAUGUCCAUGGUCCUUCAAAACUUUCUCAAAGACUGGUAGGUAUCUGUUUGCGGCCUUGUCCAAAAUAUUUGCAAGAUUUUCCUCCUUUUCAUUAGCAGGUUUGAAGUCAUGGUACAUGAUUAACUCAUUCAGAUCUGCCAGUCCUUCCACAUACAUGUCAAUUAGGGCUCUCUCCUUCAGAUCCUUCCCGUAGAGAUUGUAUUUCCCUGCUAUGUAGUUGAGGAUGGCUCUGGUCUGCACCAACUUCAUCCCAUCGAUCUCCACCAUGGGCACUUGCUGGAACAGCAGGGAUCCACUUGCCCUUAACUUUUGGAGAUCUUCCUUCGUUUCUAUAAAUCUUUCUUCAAACUCCACUCCAGCAGCUGCUAGUAGCCACUUCACUGGUUCCAUUCGGCCACGGACACUGACAUAGUGCAGAACUGGCUUCCCAGACAUGCUUCCACGUAUCUGAUUUGCUGAUAGCAGAGGGCGGUUUCCACUGGGACCGGGGCCAAAAGUUCGAUCCUUCAACCACCCGAGCUGGAAAAGGCUCUUGAAAGAGUAUAGAAGCAAAUCACCGCCCAAGAGAGCACAUCAGAGCCCCACACAGCGGCUCGGCACCAGCCCAGCCUGUCCC
rnacentral:lncRNA from 1 species